UGGGGAAUAUUGGACAAUGGGGGGAACCCUGAUCCAGCCAUGCCGCGUGUGUGAAGAAGGCCUUAUGGUUGUAAAGCACUUUAAGCGAGGAGGAGGGUACUGGUAUUAAUACUACCAGGUACUGGACGUUACUCGCAGAAUAAGCACCGGCUAACUCUGUGCCAGCAGCCGCGGUAAUACAGAGGGUGCAAGCGUUAAUCGGAAUUACUGGGCGUAAAGCGCGCGUAGGUGGUUCGUUAAGUUGAAUGUGAAAGCCCCGGGCUCAACCUGGGAACUGCAUCCAAAACUGGCGAGCUAGAGUAGGGCAGAGGGUAGUGGAAUUUCCUGUGUAGCGGUGAGAUGCGUGGAUAUAGGAAGGAACACCAGUGGGGAAGGCGACCACCUGGGCUCAUACUGACACUGAGGUGCGAAAGCGUGGGGAGCAAACAGG
rnacentral:rRNA from 1 species